GACGAACGCUGGCGGCGUGCUUAACACAUGCAAGUCGAACGGAAAGGCCCUGCUUUUGUGGGGUGCUCGAGUGGCGAACGGGUGAGUAACACGUGAGUAACCUGGCCUUGACUUUGGGAUAACUUCAGGAAACUGGGGCUAAUACCGGAUAGGUGCUCCUGCUGCAUGGUGGGGGUUGGAAAGUUUCGGCGGUUGGGGAUGGACUCGCGGCUUAUCAGCUUGUUGGUGGGGUAGUGGCUUACCAAGGCUUUGACGGGUAGCCGGCCUGAGAGGGUGACCGGCCACAUUGGGACUGAGAUACGGCCCAGACUCCUACGGGAGGCAGCAGUGGGGAAUAUUGCACAAUGGGCGGAAGCCUGAUGCAGCAACGCCGCGUGCGGGAUGACGGCCUUCGGGUUGUAAACCGCUUUCGCCUGUGACGAAGCGUGAGUGACGGUAAUGGGUAAAGAAGCACCGGCUAACUACGUG
rnacentral:rRNA from 1 species